rnacentral:rRNA from 1 species
AUUGAACGCUGGCGGCAGGCCUAACACAUGCAAGUCGAGCGGAGCGGCGGACGGGUGAGUAAUGCCUAGGAAUCUGCCUGGUCGUGGGGGAUAACGUCCGGAAACGUGCGCUAAUACCGCAUACUAUCAGAUUAGCCUAGGUCGGCUUAGCUAGUUGGUGGGGUAAAGGCCUACCAAGGCGACGAUCCGUAACUGGUCUGAGAGGAUGAUCAGUCACACUGGAACGGAGACACGGUCCAGACUCCGACGGGAGGCAGCAGUGGGGAAUAGUGGACAAUGGGCGAAAGCCUGAUCCAGCCAUGCCGCGUGUGUGAAGAAGGUCUUCGGAUUGUAAAGCACUUUAAGUUGGGAGGCGUUACCAACAGAAUAAGCACCGGCUAACUUCGUGCCAGCCGCCGCGGUAAUUC